AAGUAGAUACGACGGAGACGUAUCAGACACUGACAAGACUCGAUCUAGGUCGAUACUGGAGUUAUCACAUUUGUACCAAUACAAUUAUGCACUUGUCAUGACCAGGCCAUAACCUAUCACGUUCCGGUGACUAGGUUAUCCACGACCUCUCACAACCAUCACUUGCCAUAGUCAUGUUUUUAACAUUAUUUUAAGAUAUGCAAUAUGCUUGAAUAAUGAAAUGGAUGGAUAUUAAUUUUUUGUUAGCGAGCAAACAACACAUCAAGAGUUCAAACAUGUUUGCCUGGUUCCACGUAGGCGGGAUCAAGAUCGGUGAAGUUAACGUCGGCAUUUCCUUCGUUGGAAUUUACGUCAUAUAACAUGUACCGUCGUAAUAGUUGAGUCCUAGCUAAUGGCUCCAAAUAUUUUUUAAAUAAAUUUGAAAAUAAACUAGACCCUCAAAGCAAGGUUUUUCAAAAAGAGUCAAUUCAAACACUAUUGUAGUUUUAAAGUUAUAAGAAAAACAAGUUCAGGCACUGAUCUGUAAUGAAACGGAAUUUGUCCAGGGGCUAGUUUGAGAAACUCAAAGCGCCCGAAAGAGAAUACGUUAACUAGCUUCGAAGAUGGCUCCUGGCGAAGGCGCGUUCAAGGGAAAACGUCUCAAAAAAAAAGAACAGAACCCUGACAAGGGGGUCCACCGUGUCAGGUUCGAAUCAACCGACGCCAGAUGCAUUGCACUGAUCGCCGGCGACGAUCGAUGGAGGGAGAGAGCCAACCGAGGGCACCUACGUACGCACUGUGUUCCUGCGCUUCGGUGAGAGGUGGAUGGGGUCGAGGGGGCUCUGCGUCGAUGGCGACCUUGCUCCGACGGAUGACAACUUCGGGCACCUCCGGAAUCUCACCGAGGGACUUGCCUUCGAUCAAAUCGGAGGGGAGCUCAAGAUGAGGAGGUCACCAUGAAGCUUCUGAACGCCUCAGGGGCUCCUACUUCGACUCAUCUUGCUUGAAUCCAAUUGGAACCCGAAGCGGAUCGGGGCGGCGGAGCUGGGGAAGAAGGCCCCUCCGAGGCCCUCCUCUGGCUUGGGCAAGGUUUCGGAGUGGGGGUGGAGUGUUGUGAGGUGAGUGAUGGGCUCGACAGCUCGGAGGGGAUCUAUUUAUAGAGGCCCGACAGAGGUGUCAUGGGUCAUAACUCCGACGAGCAAUUCUGUUGAUCUAGGGGUUAGGCAGGUGGUUAGGUGGUUCGGCUCAUACCUACUCAUCGAGGGGAAUCCAUUUUUGGCCUAAAGCAGUUCAGUCAUCGAAGGAGGACUCGGGUCGACGGAGCGGUGCUUCUUGUGCACUGCGGCAGCAAAGUUCAUGCUCUGUGCUGCCCGGUGCGUGGUGACGACAAUUGCGGGGCGAGCUGGGUCCAAGGACACGCGGCGGCUUGAGGUGCGAGGGGCGGUGUCGGUCGGUGCGGUGCUGCAGCAAGGGCAUCGCUGGUGGUCGUGGCAGCCGCUACAGGUGCUGCUGCCGGAGCUUGGCCAGCUCGGCCAGCUCACCACUGACGCUAGCAAGCGUCCAAGGGAGUGCGCAACGUGUGGAUAAGCUUGGGCACAUGAUCGAGCAGUUCUAGCAUCGCCACUGUGGUGAUUGUCAGUGAACUGAAUCUCUGAACCUUUGACUGAAUCAGUUUCAGAGUUUGACAGUGGCAACAGUGCAGGCUAGGUGUUUGAUUAAAUGAAAAUGGCACGUGCACAAAAUAUUUUGAGCUGAAAACUUUCGGGGUGGUCUCUCAUUAGGUGAAAAGACUGCCCACAAUUUUUCAGAAUUUUUUAAACUGUUUUGGUCAAGUUUUUAACAAAAACAGAGUCUUUUGGGUCAAACUUGAGUCAAAUGAAAUUUGAAAUUUUCAAACUUGUGACUCCAAAGUUUUUAGUGAAGUAGGUUGAGGGUACUAAGGUCUUCUAAGAGUAGGAGUUUGGAUCCUAAACUCCACAGGGAUCAGUGAGUUCCUUUGUAAAUUUGUAGGGUCAAAAGUGAUUACAAAAAAUUCUUUUAUUAAAAAUAAACUAUGAAAGGUGGUCCAACCUUUCUAAAGUUUUGGUAAAUAAAUAAAAAAGAAUACCUAGAUGUUGUAGAAUUGCAAAAAGGUCUAAAACAUGAUAGAGGAAAAGGAAACCUUGAGGUAAAAACAAUAAUUGAACCUAUAGGAAUAAAUUCCUAGGUUUUGCAAAAGUAAUAAAAUAUUUUCCCAAACCAAUUCAUUUAGAGAAGAGGUCAAAAGAUCACUAUUCUAAACGAGGCAGGUUGAGAAAGAAGCACUAAAAAGUUUUCUUAAAGAGAUUGUCAAAGAGCUUCUACGUUUUUAUAAAAGCCAACUAAAAAUCCAUAAAAAAUGGCUAAAAAUCAAGAAAUCAAAUUUAGAAAUUUUGGGUGUUAAGAAAAAUCUCGUCCCCAAGAUUUCAGCGAGCCCUCAAGAAGUUGCGCUUGCUCUUUGUGCCGGAAAUCCUCUCUUUCCCAAUUGGCCUCAUCCUCUUAAUGGUUGCUCCACUGUACCCUGAAUAGUUUGGUGACCUUCUGUCGUGUCCGGCUUUCUGCCUCCUCUAAUAUUCGCACGGGGUGUUCCUGAUAGGAUAGGUCUGGUUGUACUUCUAUACUGUCAUGGGCUACCUGUUGAUCGGGGUUCCUUACACACUUCCUUAGUUGAGAAAGAUGGAACACGUCAUGCACAUCUCACAGUUCCGCGGGUAGAUCCAUUUGGUAGGCAACUUGGCCUCUUCGAGCAAUUAUGCGAAAUGGUUCGAUUGAGCGGGGCGCAAACUUGCCCUUGACCUUGAACCUUUGUAGUCCUCUCAUGGGUGAUACCUUUAGAUAUACAUAAUCAUUUGGGUUGAAGCCGACAUCACGGUGUUUUUUAUCGUAAUAGCUCUGCUGACGGCUUUGGGCUGUCUUGAGUUUGUCCCUUAUGAGUUUUACCUUGUCCUCUGCCUCUUGAAGUAGUUGCGGGCUGAAAAUACGGCUAUCUCCGGUUUCUAACCAAUAUAGAGGCGUACGAAAUAUUCUUCCAUAUAAGGCUUCAAAAGGUGACAUUUUUAAGCUUGCGCGAUAACUGUUGUGGUAUGAGAAUUCGGCAUAAGGAAAAUUGUCCUCCCAACUGUUUCCAUAUGUGAGCACACAAACCAUGAGCAUUUCUUCGCAAAUCUGAUUUACACAUUCGGUCUGUCCUCUAGUUUGAGGGUGAUAUGCUGUGCUGAACACUAACUGGGUGCCCAAAGCUUGUUGCAAAUAAUCCCAAAACCUUGAUGUAAACCGGGUGCCUCUAUCGGAUACAAUAGUUUAGGUAUCCCAUGUAAGCAGACAAUACGAGCGAGGUAUAACUUUGCUAGCUUCUGAGUGGAGGACGUAGUCUUUAUUGGAAUAAAGUGAGCCACCUUUGUGAUUCGAUAUGUGAUAACCCAUAUAGCAUCAUGUCCGUGUCGUGACUGGGUAGUCCGACAAUGAAGGCCAUGCCUACCUCAUCCCACUUCCACUCGGGUACCUUCAUAGGUUGUAACAGUCAUGCUGGCUUUUGGAGUUCCGCCUUGAUUCGUUGGCAUGAAUCACAACGGGCAAUGAAAGAGGCAAUAUCUAUUUUCAUUCCGUGACACGAAUAUUUUGUCUGUAUAUCCUUGAACAUUUUUGUACCUCCGGGGUGGAUUGAGUAGGGCACAUUGUGAGCUUCUUCCAAAAUUUGAGUUUUGAGGUCCUCUUGGUCUGGUACGCACGGUCGGUCUCUGUACCAUAAUAUCCCGUGUUCAUCAAUAAUAAAUUUGGGGGCUUUUCCAAGGUUCACCUUUUUCUUUAUGCCUUCAAUGCUGGGGUGCUCCUUAUGAGCCUUCUUGAUAUUCUCGUCCGUAGUGGGUUGUACUUCUAGUUGUGCCACGGUGCCUUGUGGAAUGAGGAGCAGGUUUAGCAGAGCGAACUCUUUCGCAAUCUCAUGUCUUAGCUUUCGUAUAGGGCCCUUGUCUGAGGUGGGGUUCCCGCUAAGAGCAUCGGCUACCACGUUAGCCUUACCAAUAUGGUAAUGAAUUCCCACAUCAUAAUCUUUAAUUAACUCCAACUAACACCGUUGUCGUAGGUUGAGAUCUGGCUGCGUGAAGAUAUAUUUGAGACUCUUAUGAUCCGUGUAUGUUUCGCAGUGAUUUCCAUGGAUAAAGUGCCUCCAUUCCUUGAGAGCAUGUAUCACGGCGGCCAACUCCAAAUCGUGAGUGGGAUAAUUUUCUUCGUGUCGCCGUAGUUGUCGUGAGGCGUAAGCCAUGACCUUCCCUUCCUGCAUAAGUACGCAUCCGAGGCCUUUCCUUGAGGCAUCACAGUAUACUUCAAUUUUUUUGUUUAAGUCUGGAACAAUCAACACGGGUGUCGUGGUCAGUCUCUUCUUCAGCUCAAACAAAACUAUUCCCACAUGCUUCAAUCCAUUCAAACUUGUUUUCCUUUUUGAGUAGUUGGGUCAUGGGCUUGGCAACAGUGGAAUUUUUUCAAUAAAUCUCUAGUAGUCUCCCACCAUUCCGAGGAAACUUUGGAUGUCUUUCACGCUGGUUGGUUGCGGCCAUUCACUUACAGCCUUGAUCUUCUUAGGAUCCACAGCUAUGCCUUCUUGGGUCAUUACAUGUCCCAAAAAUCCAACUUGCUUCAGCCAAAGCUCACAUUUGCUGAACUUGGCAUACAAUUGAUGUUUACGCAGCUCUUCCAACACAAUUCUUAGGUGUUCCGCAUGUUCUUUGGGGUUCUUGGAGUAGACAAGUAUGUCGUCGAUGACGACUACGACAAACUUAUCCAUGUACUUCAUGAGUACCUUAUUCAUUAAAUGCACAAAGUAAGCUGGUGCGUUUGUUAGUCCUAAAGGCAUUACCGUAAACUCAUACAAUCCGUAUCGUGACGUAAAUGUUGUCUUCGGAAUGUCUUCAUAAAGUAUCUUAUAUGAUAUCCUGACCGCAAAUCGAUCUUCGAGAAUACCAUUGCUUGUGUUAACUGAUCAAACAACUCAUUUAUCCUGGGUAGUGGAUACUUGUUCUUGAUGAUGGCCAUGUUAACGGCUCAAUAAUCAAUACAAAGUCUUAGCAUCCCAUCUCUCUUUUUGGCAAAUAAUACUGGCGAUCCCGAGGGCGAAGAGUUGGGUCUAAUGUAUCCUUUGUCCAAAAGCUCUUUUAUUUGCUUCUUGAGUUCGACUAACUCAGUAGAUGCCAUGCGGUACAGCUUUUUGUAUAUUGGGGUGGUACCAGGUGCAAGUUCAAUGAAAAAUUCUAUUUCUCGGUAUGGUUGCAUGCCUCGUAGUUCGUUAGGAAAUACAUCCGGUAAUUCACAUACCACUGGGAUGUCCUUCAUCUCAAUAGCUUCCAUGUGAUUAAGUCAUGCUUGGUUUGACUUCUCCUUUUCUAAGGCUGCAACUUUUACCCUUUUACCCUGAUGGUGGGUGAGUGUGACUGUUCGGUUGAAGCACUCAACAAAUCCCUUGUUGGUAUUUAGCCAGUCCAUUCCCACACAACAUCCAAAUUGCUGCUUUCGAUCACAAUGAGAUUUGCCCAAAACGCCAAGUCUUUGAUCUCAAUAGUAACAUAUUGGCAAUAUUUUUGUGUAACCUGUUGUACUCCCGGGGACUUGAUGGUCAUCGAAUUUUCCAAGGGGGGGGUUGAAAAGUUAUUUUUUGAAACAAAUUUUUCCAAAAUGAACGAAUGGGAAGCUCUAGAAUCAAACAAAACCAUGACAUGAAUUUUGUUGACAGGAAACUUACCGAGCACUAUUUCUGGCGCGUUCAUAGCAUCUUCUUUGGCGACGAGAUUCACGUGACCCUUCCUGUGAUUGUUGUUGGGGUUGAAGUUGAUGCGCUUUGGUGCUGGGUCAAAGCUGGAAAGGUUGGUUUUAGUUGCACCAUUUCCGGCCUUUGGGCACUGUCGGGCGAAGUGUCCAGCCUCUCCGCAGGCGAAACAUGUGAUAUCGGGGCAUGGAGUAAAAUCCUUGUUCCUCGCAUAAAACUGGGUGUUGACUUUAGUUGUUGAAGUUCGAGUACGAGGAGUUUGAUUCUUUGUGUCCUCAGCCUUGUGCUUGAUGUUGCGCGCUGGUGUCGAGUUGUUAUGACGAUGUUUACGAAUGUCAUCCAAGCUGCGACGUUCGGCCUCUAGCAUGUUGGCCUUAUCCAGAAGUGUUUUGAAGUCUGGAAAUGUAUGAAUGACUAGAUGGCAUUUUAAUGCCGGAGCGAGUCCAUCCAGGAAUUUCUCCAUUUUUUCUCUUCAGUCUUAUAAUCUUCACUUGCAUAACGGGAUAAUUUAUUAUACUGGUCCAGAUAUUCCAUUACAGUGGAACUCCCUUGUUUGAGGUCUUCGAAUUCCCUCUUCUUGAUUUUCAUGACGCUCUUGGGAAUUGUGUCCCACGAAAACUCUCUUUGAAUUCAGCCCACGUGAUGUUGUUCUCGUCAGGAUGUACAUGGAGGAUAUUUCCCACCACGAGGUUGCGGCUCCAAUCAGAUAGUGAGGUUUGUCGGUGUGCGAAAAGUUGGCGGACGUGUCUUUUGUAAUUCAACCGAUCUGGAGUGCGUGGGUGUGGUCCACACUGAUUCCCCAUAUUCAUUAGUUGGUUCAUCAUCUCGUGAUGUUGUUGCUAGCUUUGCUCAUACAAACGACAAACCUCUGAAAAUGCUGGGUCGCUCUCGUGUCGGCCUGACUGUCCCUGAGUGAAAUCAUUCCAUGUCUCAGCAAAUUGAUUUUCUCCCUACAUUCUUGGCAUGGAGCGUGUCCACGGACGACUCAUUUUCUCAAAGCUGGGUUAAUGUCGCAAAAACCAAAUGAGAAAUUCAAGUUCAAGGGAGAAUAGAAUUUAAAAAAUUUAUACAAGGAAAUACUAUGAAAAGUAUUUUCAUUAACCGUCACGUUCGGAGAAGGACUGCGAUACAUCUUACAUCACACAUAAUUAUACAUAUCACUCAGGUCGCACUCUCGUAUGCCUGACAUGUUAUUUAAGCUAGUGCACUUCUCCUGGUCCUACAUGACGCAACACGACUACUUCCCUUCAGUCUAGGAGCACAUCAUCAUACAUAUCAUACAUACCACACAAGCGUACUAGCGAUCAGCUGUACCAUCUCUAGGUGGAGUCGGAAGGGACCUGGAUUGGCUGACCCAGGGAUAGUCCCAGAUGAGGAGCUGGGGAGUCCACUUCCUCUAGCACGGGCUCUAGGCGGACCGCACGAGACGGCGAAGCACGAAAUGGACUAGCAGGCAUAGCAACUCUAAUGGGGGCAAGAGCAAUGACUUGAUUGAACUCUUCAAUCGAAGAUAGCUGAUGACGAAGCUGAGCUGGUGGAGUGCAUGAGGCAAAAGAAGAUGGGCAUGACCUAGGUGGUGUGGGAUGAAGGAGCUCAGUCCUGUUGUGAGGACGAGUAAUGGUCUCCAUGCGAGCAGCCAACAAGUCAUUGGUUUACAUGAAGAGGGAGAAUGCUAGCAGCUGGAAUUCU